CUUGACGACCAUAGAGCAUUGGAACCACCUGAUCCCAUCCCGAACUCAGCAGUGAAACGAUGCAUCGCCGAUGGUAGUGUGGGGUUUC
rnacentral:rRNA from 2 species